rnacentral:RNase_P_RNA from 1 species
GGGUAAGUACUUAGCUUUCGCAUCUAAUGUGAGGAAAGUCCACCCACACAGUCAAUUUGACUGAAAAAUUGCCACUCUUGGAAGAGAGAUCCGGAAACGGAUGGCAACCCAUUCAGAAAAUAAACCACAUGUUAACAGGAUGAUGUUGCGAAGCCUGAGGUGACUUGGGUGAGUUAACCAACUGACGUUUUAGCAUGAAAGGAUGAAACAUGGGACCUGGUUUGUGCAAGUUGAAGGCAUUGUUAUGUCAAACGCUUAGUUAAAUGCUAAGGCAGGCUAUCGUAACUUAAUGUUACACAAAAGGGCCUGACAGAAGGUGGCUUAUUCUUGCCC